AGCUGAAGUGGAUGAAACUUUUGAUGAGCUUAUCUAUUCGUGGAUGUGCUAGAAAGUAGAAACCAUAUAAAUUGGGACAACCUCAAGUUUCUACCAAAUUUUUCGGCUGAUCUUUUACAGGUUUGCAUGAAUAGGGACUGCGCCACCACUAUAAGGUUGCGGACUUGCUCUUCCCUCUUCUGUGGCUGAAUGCUCCGACAAUGACCCGGUUGAAUGUGGCACUUCCCUUUCAAGGUUCUCUAACAGUUCUUCAUACGGAGGAGACGAAACACUUUCAGCAGCAAAUCCCAAAUACGCGAACACGUCAAGGUACCCAGUGUCACAAACUGUCUGCAACGGCCUAUUAAGGAAUCGGUUUUGCGAGUCUGUAUUACACACAUGCUGUAGAGACAAGUUAUAAGCCUGUUUGCCAUUACGUAUGCGGUCGCAAACACUCUGUGUUAAUCAUGAAGUGUUCAAUAUGCACAGCAUGACCUAAACCCUAAAUCACGGUUGAGACAACGCAAUUAUGAAAAAUCAUCCACAUUCUUAAUUUAAGCGCGGCUGCUGUUGCAAACAAUCAUAAGAAAUUAGAAUACUUGGGCAAGGCUAAUAAUGAUGGCAUGAUUUGCAAAGCUGUCUGAGCAGUUGGGAUACUGCUACAGUCUAUUGAUAUCUUAUUAGUGGUUCAAAUGAUUUAGUCAUAAUUUUUCCUAACCAAAUCCAAUUACCUAUGAAUUAUAUUGAAACAAAGGACCAAAUAUAAAGAUAGAAAGUAAAAUGAAUUCAUAUUUCCCAAAUUCCUUCAUAUCAAGUAAGUCAUAAUUAAUGCUUUAGUAGCUUAGAUUCAAGCUUCGUUUGGGACGACUUUUUUAUUGUUUCUUAAAAGAGCUUUCUAGUUUAAAAUUUAAAAUUUUUCUUCUAAAAAACGGCUUUAAGAAGUAGUAAGAAAGCCGUCCCAAACAAAGUGACACCGAACAGGAGGGGGCUCGACGAAUCCACGUCGACGAUCCGGUGACCGAGGCCGAGCAAGUCUCCAAGAACUCCUCGGAGAAAGAAUCCACCACCUAAGAUCACUCUCAGGAUACAUGAAUCCAAAACAACAAGACAAAAGCCUUCAUUUUCUUUAUUCUCUAAAAUCUGUCUCAUCACAAUUAAUGACUAUGUAUUUAUAGACAAAUCAUAUCAACCUACUAGGAUACACAUAACAAAAAAAAA